rnacentral:tRNA from 3 species
GUCCUUGUCGUCCAAUGGAUAGGACGCAGGCCUCCGAAGCUUGAAAUCCGAGUUCGAAUCUCGGCGAGGACGCAA